GGCUGCAGCUCAGUGGUGGAGCACUUGCCCGGCAUGCAUGAGGCCCUGGGUUCAAUUCCAGCACUGCCA
rnacentral:tRNA from 1 species